rfam:Marchantia polymorpha subsp. polymorpha scaffold4209, whole genome shotgun sequence.
CUUCACCGACCCCAGCAGCAACGGCCGCUGCGGGUCCCGCUCCCGGCCGUAGGUGGCGAGCACGGCCUGGGCCUC